GUACGGAUGGCUGAAUGGUUCAAGCAACAAGCUGUUAACUUGUCUUAUAUAGGUUCGAAUCCUAUUCCGUGCG
rnacentral:tRNA from 1 species